UUCAGAGUUUACAGUCCGACAGAUCUGGCCUACUUGGGUCCCCUCCCACGAUCUCGCCCUCGGUUGAAGAAGGAAUGUUACAGUGCGGUGCU